GUUGAAGAACGCAGCGAAAUGCGAUAAGUAAUGUGAAUUGCAGAAUUCAGUGAAUCAUCGAAUCUUUGAACGCACAUUGCGCCCGCCAGUAUUCUGGCGGGCAUGCCUGUUCGAGCGUCAUUUCAACCAUCAAGCCCCAGGCUUGUGUUGGGGACCUGCGGCUGCCGCAGGCCCUGAAAACCAGUGGCGGGCUCGCUGUCACACCGGGCGUAGUAGAUUUUAUCUCGCUCAGGGCGUGCUGCGGGUCCCGGCCGUUAAAAGCCUUUUUUUACCCAAGGUUGACCUCGGAUCAGGUAGGAAGACCCGCUGAACUUAAGCAUAUCAAUAAGCGGAGGA
rnacentral:misc_RNA from 1 species